AGCUCCGUGGCUUAUGCGUGGGUAGCUUACCCUCUCAACUCUGUCAUUGAUGUCUUCAGCAUGGAGGACGCUAUCAGUGCAAUCUAUGGUCGGCAGUAUAUUCUACAAGACAAAAGUGAGAUCAGGGAAGUCAGACAAGAAGAUUACGACGUUGUUUUCUGGUUUCUAAUUGCAAUUGUCAUAAUUCUGCUGUUACUGCUCCUCUUGUUGUUGAUUUACUGCUGCUGCUGCUAUAGAGGGCGA